UACGUAGGGUGCAAGCGUUGUCCGGAAUUAUUGGGCGUAAAGAGCUCGUAGGCGGUCUGUCGCGUCUGCUGUGAAAACCCGGGGCUCAACCCCGGGCUUGCAGUGGAUACGGGCAGACUAGAGUUCGGUAGGGGAGACUGGAAUUCCUGGUGUAGCGGUGAAAUGCGCAGAUAUCAGGAGGAACACCGGUGGCGAAGGCGGGUCUCUGGGCCGAUACUGACGCUGAGGAGCGAAAGUGUGGGGAGCGAACAGG
rnacentral:rRNA from 1 species